GGGGAUGAUCCGGUUUCGACGGGGGUAACAGAGGUAGGAUAAGCGAGCCGCAGACCCUGUACUGCGUAUCAACGGGGAAAAACAAUAACUGACAAUAGCAAUUACGCUUUCGCGGCUUAAUGCCGCGCGUCGGCCCUGACCGCCUGCAGAUCAGGUUCCCGGCGUCAUUAAUGCAGGGAACGAGUUUCGCCUAAGCUUUGCAGCGGAAUCCGUAAUCAUGAAGCUACUCUGAAUAAUGUUUUUCCGCGGACAUCAUCCAGGGGAAAAUCAACCACGGAAUGCGCUCGGAGAAAGUCCUUCUGAAGUACUUUCGGACAGGGGUUCAACUCCCCUCAUCUCCACAU
rfam:Clostridiales bacterium strain WTE2008 genome assembly, contig: Ga0059123_101